AUUGAACGCUGGCGGCAGGCCUAACACAUGCAAGUCGAGCGGAUGAAGGGAGCUUGCUCCUGGAUUCAGCGGCGGACGGGUGAGUAAUGCCUAGGAAUCUGCCUGGUAGUGGGGGAUAACGUCCGGAAACGGGCGCUAAUACCGCAUACGUCCUGAGGGAGAAAGUGGGGGAUCUUCGGACCUCACGCUAUCAGAUGAGCCUAGGUCGGAUUAGCUAGUUGGUGGGGUAAAGGCCUACCAAGGCGACGAUCCGUAACUGGUCUGAGAGGAUGAUCAGUCACACUGGAACGGGGACACGGUCCAGACGCCUACGGGAGGCAGCAGUGGGGAAUAUUGGACAGUGGGCGAAAGCCUGGUCCAGCCAUGCCGCGUGUGUGAAGAAGGUCUUCGGAUUGUAAAGCACUUUAAGUUGGGAGGAAGGGCAGUAAGUUAAUACCUUGCUGUUUUGACGUUACCAACAGAAUAAGCACCGGCUAACUUCGUG
rnacentral:rRNA from 1 species